CGAUUAAAUUAGAUUCAUGAAAAUAGAAUUUUACGGGUUAUCGGAUUAAACAUUUCUUUAAUCCCAAAUAUUGUGGCUUGGUGGCCAAGUAACGAGGCUUGGUGCCCAAGUAAUGUUACUUGGUGCCCAAGUAACGAUUAGGACUAAGCAAGGUAAUGAUUGAUUGUUAAACAAAUAGUUAGCCAUAAUGACAAUUAGGAGUGCUAUAUAAAUAAAAAUGUUGGCUUACUUAAAAAGUUUAGUUGGAGCAGAAGAGAAAAUUAUGGAGAUUAUGAAGAGAAGAGUAAAGAGGAGGAAGCAAUUAAAGAGUUUGAGAAGAACAAUUUUCUACACUUAAGAAUAUCUACUAUCUGGAAGGCGAGCUCAAUUUGAGACAAGAAUAUUUUAUAUAAAUAUCAAAGGACACCAGGCAAGUUCACUUAAUCCUUCCUUUGAUGUGCCCAUGAUGUGCAAAUAUUUGUCGAACGUGAUUUCAUUUGAUAUUUAUAUCUGUGUUUAAAUCCCGAUAUUUUGACAUGUAUUUAAAUAUUUGAGAAAAUCGGGAAGAGACGGAUACUAGAAGAUUUGACAUUCGUUCAGAAUAUUAUUCAAACAGUUUUCUACAUUACUGAGUCCACCUAUUGUUCAGGAUGACUCAUUAUUUUGUAAAAUCACAAAUAUCGUCAAUUUUCAAAUCUUUAACCUAUCACUCCUUUUGAGAUGAUUAUCCAAUUUUGUAAUCUUUAUUUCGUUACAGAAAUUCAUAUUCGAUAUUUAAUUCUAACCUUGCUCAUAUUCGAGAAGUCUUGUUUAUAUCUUUGAGUUAUUAUAUCAAUGCAAGAAUAACUCAGUUGAAUUCUCUCUAAACCUUGAUUAUUCGCUAACAUCGACAUUUUAAUUGUCGAGACCCCGAACUUUGAUUCGUAAUUCUUGCGAAUUUUAUGCUUUUGAUGUCUUCUUCAGAUAACUGAUUAUUCUUUCUAUAUACUUUAAAGGGGAUAAUUUGCUUGAUUAUCGAGGUCCUCUCCUAGUUUCUUAUUCUCGUUCAAUCUGUUAAACUUCUAUUCUUUAAUUCGAACUAUGAUUAAUCGAUUUUAUACAAGGAUCGUUAACCAUGUUCGGUUCUAUGUUAUUGUUCUUGGGAUGUUGUGAUCGGAUUACUGUUUCUUCGUAAUCCGGCCGAGAAGUUUUUAAUUCUGAAUUGUGAGGAUGCAUUUGUUCGCAUUCUUGUGAGAAAAGGGGAAGAUUUAUUCAAUAUGAAGUGAGCCAAUUUGUACUCGGGGAAUGAAUUUCAUAAACUGGUCAACACGAAUGAUUUGCAUUCGUGGAAGAGUGGAAAUGUCUGUUGGCCCUAUGUGUGGGACAACUUUAAGGGUUGAAAGUGAUAACCCUUAUGCUAGCAAAUAAACGGGGGAAACUGUGUGCCGCCAUUCGAAAGUCGCGAUCAGACUGCGAAGGUGACACGGGGUGGUAUCUACUUAGUGGCGGUGAUCGAGCCAUAUGGUGGAACCAUCAAGGAUGGAGACCAGUAUUAUUGUUAUUCUUUGUUUUCUUGAGUUCAAUAUAUGAUUAUCUGCAGCUCUCAUUUUGAAUCUGCUUAAUUGUUAUAUCUGCUUAAAUUCCUUUACCUAAUCUGUGAUGUUUGCACUUGAACUGUGAACUUGCUGAGCAUUAAAUUGCUCAUACUUGCAACUCUUUAUUUCCUUUGACUGUAAAGACAGAAAUUGGCACAAAUGAGAAGGGUAAUUCGGAAGCAUAUAACAGCAAAAAUCAAGGGCAAAGCGUGAGGCUGUGGCACGAAGGGUGCGAAGACUUGUUCCCGUAACGAGAAUGUUUUAGGAUUAUAAUAAUGGUAGAUUGUACUUUUGAACUUAUCAUUGUAAUGUUAUAAUAGACUGCGUGGAAGUGUAAGAUCGACCCUGGACUUGUGGGGCGAGCUAUGUAUUGGAAGUCAGGUAUGCUAUAAUAAUGUGACGGCCUAGAUCCGAGAUAUAUGGAUCUGGGGGCGUUACAAUUACACUUAUUUAAACAUUUUAUGUUGGCUUCGUAGAACUAAACUAAAUCCUUUGGAAUUUGCCGCUAUAAUUUUUAGAAAUUCCCGGUCAAAUAUUUUAAAUAUUUUUAAGUUGCCGCUAAGUAAUUUGAUAAAGGUAAUGGGACGUUUUUAGUCCCUUAAAUCUAGAUUUGACGGUUGGGCUGGGAGUUUCAUUAACCCAUACAGUAUCAUCUAAACUCCAACUUUCUGAAGCUCAUCCCUCCACAUUAUUAUCCAGCGAACUAUUCUGAAUCCUUGUAUUUAAUUAAAUUAACCGAUUCCAACCUUACGGAAGCUCAGAUUUGGCGUACUCAUUUCUCUCGGUUUCUUUGAGCUCUCUUGUCUAAUGAGAAGUUAUGAAAGAUGCGCUCUUAACUGGCUAGUGUUGUUUCAAAGUUUCCGCGACAAAUGAAAAAUGUUUCUUGCCUGUUUGCUUUGUUGAUGGAUAGUCAAUUUCUGAAGGUUUGACGAUUGCAAUGCUGGGACAAUCCAAGUCAUCAAGGGCACAUGUAGAAUAUAAUUAUUGAUUGAUCGUAUUUUUUCAUGUAUAAUUCUCCAGUUAUGGAUCAGAAUCUUGUGCUGUAAUAAUUCUUUUAUAUAGUAAAAACUCAUUUGUAUUUAAUCUUUAAUAUAUGAUUUUGAUUAUUUGUUAA